rnacentral:rRNA from 1 species
AUUGAACGCUGGCGGCAGGCUUAACACAUGCAAGUCGAGCGGGGUGAUGGUGCUUGCACUAUCACUUAGCGGCGGACGGGUGAGUAAUGCUUAGGAAUCUGCCUAUUAGUGGGGGACAACAUCUCGAAAGGGAUGCUAAUACCGCAUACGUCCUACGGGAGAAAGCAGGGGAUCACUUGUGACCUUGCGCUAAUAGAUGAGCCUAAGUCGGAUUAGCUAGUUGGUGGGGUAAAGGCCUACCAAGGCGACGAUCUGUAGCGGGUCUGAGAGGAUGAUCCGCCACACUGGGACUGAGACACGGCCCAGACUCCUACGGGAGGCAGCAGUGGGGAACAUUGGACAAUGGGGGAACCCUGAUCCAGCCAUGCCGCGUGUGUGAAGAAGGCCUUAUGGUUGUAAAGCACUUUAAGCGAGGAGGAGGCUCUUUUAGUUAAUACCCAAGAUGAGUGGACGUUACUCGCAGAAUGAGCACCGGCUAACUCUGUGCCAGCAGCCGCGGUAA